CAACCACCAACCAAAAGAUGUGACCAUUAUUAUGGAUAAUACAGGAAUCGGCGACGGAAACCCUGAGGGCUUGUCAUUUACCCUUCAAGGUGAAUGUGUGAAUGACAAGACGAUUGGAGUCAGAAAGGAUAACGUCAGAUUCAGUUGACGACGGAUAAAUCGACAAAUGGAAGAUUUUGAAGCCGGAAAAGGGCCUAGAAUAAUCAUCAAGCCCAGCCAUUGUUUCAAACAUCAAAUUCCCGUUACAAAAGUACCAUAAACUACUUCAACUAGCACAGCACCAACUAAACAACUAGCUGUUUCUAAUGACAAUAAUCCUGAAAACGAAUCUUGGCUAAUCUCGCAAUCCCCCGAAUCCAGCCAUCCAUCAUAUUCGUCGGAUUCAGUCACCUAUAUCCCUUCGUCAACAGAAAAAACAAGUCAGCGGCCAUCAUCGACGACCGUUCGCCCACCCACAACUUGUUUCAACGACUAUAUCAAGACAUUCCAUGGGUUAUUCUGAAAUCUCCUGAGCAAACUGACGACCAUUAUUCAUCAUCAUCGUUUGAAAUUUAUCCACAUGAUAACGAACCCGAUAACGUGAAACAUUUCCUAGAAAUGACGACUAAAAAUCCGUGGCUGGCUCUGAAAUCUGCUUACCUUCGUAAAAAUUCUACUGCUUCAUCAUUAAAGUUAACAGCUCCCUACAAUCAACAUUACUAUUCAAAAGACCCAAACCGCAAUACCAUAAACAGGGAAAUACUUAACAAUGAAAUCAUUUCUCAACUAAUACAUAGGACAAUAACA